AACGCACAUUGCGCCCCCUGGUACUCCGGGGGGCAUGCCUGUUCGAGCGUCAUUACACCACUCAAGCCUCGCUUGGUAUUGGGCGACGGGGGUCCCCCCGCGCCUCAAUGUUUCCGGCUGGUCGGUCCAAAUCUCAGCGUUGUGGCAAUCAAUUCGCUGGCGAGAUGGGGCGACCCGGCCGUUAAACCUCUCAUCACAGGUUGACCUCGGAUCAGGUAGGGUUACCCGCUGAACUUAA
rnacentral:misc_RNA from 1 species